rnacentral:rRNA from 1 species
GACGAACGCUGGCGGCGUGCUUAACACAUGCAAGUCGAACGGAAAGGCCCUGCUUUUGUGGUGUGCUCGAGUGGCGAACGGGUGAGUAACACGUGAGUAACCUGCCCUUGACUUUGGGAUAACUUCAGGAAACUGGGGCUAAUACCGGAUAGGAGCUCCUGCUGCAUGGUGGGGGUUGGAAAGUUUCGGCGGUUGGGGAUGGACUCGCGGCUUAUCAGCUUGUUGGUGGGGUAGUGGCUUACCAAGGCUUUGACGGGUAGCCGGCCUGGGAGGGUGACAGGCCACAUUGGGACUGAGAUACGGCCCAGACUGCUACGGGAGGCAGCAGUGGGGAAUAUUGCACAAUGGGCGGAAGCCUGAUGCAGCAACGCCGCGUGCGGGAUGACGGCCUUCGGGUUGUAAACCGCUUUCGCCUGUGACGAAGCGUGAGUGACGGUAAUGGGUAAAGAAGCACCGGCUAACUACGUG